ensembl:snoRNA SNORA72 Small nucleolar RNA SNORA72
UGGUACAGGGUUUCCAAACAUUUGCUAUAUUAAGACCAUGCAUUGGUCCCCAGACCUAGUUCUUUCCCUAGGCCUGGUUUUAUAAAUACUGGUGAUAAAC